rnacentral:rRNA from 1 species
AUUGAACGCCGGCGGCAGGCCUAACACAUGCAAGUCGAGCGGAUGAAGGGAGCUUGCUCCUGGAUUCAGCGGCGGACGGGUGAGUAAUGCCUAGGAAUCUGCCUGGUAGUGGGGGAUAACGUCCGGAAACGGGCGCUAAUACCGCAUACGUCCUGAGGGAGAAAGUGGGGGAUCUUCGGACCUCACGCUAUCAGAUGAGCCUAGGUCGGAUUAGCUAGUUGGUGGGGUAAAGGCCUACCAAGGCGACGAUCCGUAACUGGUCUGAGAGGAUGAUCAGUCACACCGGAACUGAGACACGGUCCAGACUCCUACGGGAGGCAGCAGUGGGGAAUAUUGGACAAUGGGCGAAAGCCUGAUCCAGCCAUGCCGCGUGUGUGAAGAAGGUCUUCGGAUUGUAAAGCACUUUAAGUUGGGAGGAAGGGCAGUAAGUUAAUACCUUGCUGUUUUGACGUUACCAACAGAAUAAGCACCGGCUAACUUCGUG